rnacentral:rRNA from 1 species
CGCCUAACACAUGCAAGUCGAACGAAGUAGCAAUACUUAGUGGCAGACGGGUGAGUAACAUGUGGGUAUCUACCCUUUGGCCUGGAAUAACACGAGGAAACUUGUGCUAAUACCGGAUAAGUCUUUACGGAGAAAGCUUUAUGCACCAUUGGAUGAGCCUGCAUUUGAUUAGUUUGUUGGUAGGGUAAUGGCCUACCAAGACUUUGAUCAAUAGCUGAUUUGAGAGGAUGAUCAGCCACAUUGGGACUGAGACACGGCCCAAACUCCUACGGGAGGCAGCAGUGGGGAAUCUUGCACAAUGGAGGAAACUCUGAUGCAGCGAUGCCGCGUGAGUGAAGAAGGCCUUUGGGUUGUAAAGCUCUUUCGUCGGGGAAGAAAAUGACUGUACCCGAAUAAGAAGGUCCGGCUAACUUCGUGCCAGCAGCCGCGGUAAUACGAAGGGACCUAGCGUAGUUCGGAAUUACUGGGCUUAAAGAGUUCGUAGGUGGUUGAAAAAGUUGGUGGUGAAAUCCCAGAGCUUAACUCUGGAACUGCCAUCAAAACUUUUCAGCUAGAGUUUGAUAGAGGAAAGCAGAAUUUCUAGUGUAGAGGUGAAAUUCGUAGAUAUUAGAAAGAAUACCAAUUGCGAAGGCAGCUUUCUGGAUCAUUACUGACACUGAGGAACGAAAGCAUGGGUAGCGAAGAGGAUUAGAUACCCUCGUAGUCCAUGCCGUAAACGAUGUGUGUUAGACGUUGGAAAUUUAUUUUCAGUGUCGCAGCGAAAGCGAUAAACACACCGCCUGGGGAGUACGACCG